UACAGAGGGUGCAAGCGUUAAUCGGAAUUACUGGGCGUAAAGCGUGCGUAGACGGUCAUGUAAGUCGGGUGUGAAAGCCCCGGGCUCAACCUGGGAAUUGCAUUCGAGACUGCAUGGCUAGGAUGCGGAAGAGGGAAGCGGAAUUUCCGGUGUAGCGGUGAAAUGCGUAGAUAUCGGAAGGAACACCAAUGGCGAAGGCAGCCGCCUGGGCCUGAUCUGACACUGAGACACGAAAGCGUGGGGAUCAAACAGG
rnacentral:rRNA from 1 species